GGCGGGGUAACGGCCCACCAAGGCUACGACCAGUAGGGGUUCUGAGAGGAAGGUCCCCCACAUUGGGACUGAGACACGGUCCAAACUCCUACGGGAGGCAGCAGUGAGGAAUAUUGGUCAAUGGACGAGAGUCUGAACCAGCCAAGUAGCGUGCAGGAUGACGGCCCUAUGGGUUGUAAACUGCUUUUAUAAGGGAAUAAAGUGAGCCUCGUGAGGCUUUUUGCAUGUACCUUAUGAAUAAGGACCGGCUAAUUCCGUGCCAGCAGCCGCGGUAAUACGGAAGGUCCGGGCGUUAUCCGGAUUUAUUGGGUUUAAAGGGAGCGUAGGCCGGAGAUUAAGCGUGUUGUGAAAUGUAGACGCUCAACGUCUGCACUGCAGCGCGAACUGGUUUCCUUGAGUACGCACAAAGUGGGCGGAAUUCGUGGUGUAGCGGUGAAAUGCUUAGAUAUCACGAAGAACUCCGAUUGCGAAGGCAGCUCACUGGAGCGCAACUGACGCUGAAGCUCGAAAGUGCGGGUAUCGAACAGGAUUAGAUACCCUGGUAGUCCGCACGGUAAACGAUGGAUGCCCGCUGUUGGUCUGAAUAGGUCAGCGGCCAAGCGAAAGCAUUAAGCAUCCCACCUGGGGAGUACGCCGGCAACGGUGAAACUCAAAGGAAUUGACGGGGGCCCGCACAAGCGGAGGAACAUGUGGUUUAAUUCGAUGAUACGCGAGGAACCUUACCCGGGCUUGAAUUGCAGAGGAAGGAUUUGGAGACAAUGACGCCCUUCGGGGCCUCUGUGAAGGUGCUGCAUGGUUGUCGUCAGCUCGUGCCGUGAGGUGUCGGCUUAAGUGCCAUAACGAGCGCAACCCCUCUCCUUAGUUGCCAUCAGGUUAAGCUGGGCACUCUGGGGACACUGCCACCGUAAGGUGUGAGGAAGGUGGGGAUGACGUCAAAUCAGCACGGCCCUUACGUCCGGGGCUACACACGUGUUACAAUGGCAGGUACAGAGAGACGGUUGUACGUAAGUACGAUCAAAUCCUUAAAGCCUGUCUCAGUUCGGACUGGGGUCUGCAACCCGACCCCACGAAGCUGGAUUCGCUAGUAAUCGCGCAUCAGCCAUGGCGCGGUGAAUACGUUCCCGGGCCUUGUACACACCGCCCGUCAAGCCAUGAAAGCCGGGGGCGCCUAAAGUCCGUGACCGUAAGGAGCGGCCUAGGGCGAAACUGGUAAUUGGGGCUAAGUCGUAACAAGGUA
rnacentral:rRNA from 1 species